rnacentral:tRNA from 1 species
AUUCUCAUCGUCUAAAGGCUAAGAUAUCAAAAUCUUGAUUUUGUGUGAACAGGGAUUCGAGUUCCUUUGAGAUUU